rnacentral:tRNA from 1 species
UAAGAUGUAGUUUAUUUAAAAACGGGUUAUUUACACUAACUAAAAAAUUUUUAUUCUUCUUAA